rnacentral:tRNA from 1 species
GGCAACGUAGCAUAACUGGUAAUGCACUUCCCCGCUAAGGAAGCGUCCGAUAGGGCUUGCGAGUUCGAGUCUCGCCGUUGUCG